UGGGGGAAUAUUGCACAAUGGGGGAAACCCUGAUGCAGCGACGCCGCGUGAACGAAGAAGUAUUUCGGUAUGUAAAGUUCUAUCAGCAGGGAAGAUAAUGACGGUACCUGACUAGGAAGCCACGGCUAACUACGUGCCAGCAGCCGCGGUAAUACGUAGGUGGCAAGCGUUGUCCGGAUUUACUGGGUGUAAAGGGAGCGCAGGCGGGACAGCAAGUUGGAUGUGAAAUACCGGAGCUUAACUCCGGAGCUGCAUCCAAAACUGUUGUUCUUGAGUGAAGUAGAGGUUGGCGGAAUUCCGAGUGUAGCGGUGAAAUGCGUAGAUAUUCGGAGGAACACCAGUGGCGAAGGCGGCCAACUGGGCUUUAACUGACGCUGAGGCUCGAAAGCAUGGGGAGCAAACAGGAUUAGAUACCCUGGUAGU
rnacentral:rRNA from 1 species